UACCGUCAGCUACUUCACGAAGUAGUGUUUCUUCCUGUGCAAAAGCAGUUUACAAUCCAUAGGACCGUCAUCCUGCACGCGGCAUGGCUGGAUCAGGCUUGCGCCCAUUGUCCAAUAUUCCUCACUGCUGCCUCCCGUAGGAGUAGA
rnacentral:rRNA from 1 species